ACAGCAGAGACAGGAGAGACAGGAGCAGAUCAGACAGCUCCAGAGACAACUGGACUACAGCACAAGGGUGUGCCACUCACUGGGACAGAACCAGCAGUCUGUACUCUCCCUGAGCCCUUAUGGCAUCAGCCCUGGACAUACACAGGUCUACCUCAUCAGGAACCAACUCAACCACUGCUGCACCAAGCUGGCCAGACAACAGAACAACAUCCAAAGAAUGAGGCAGCUUUUGAAUGAUCUCCUACACGAACAACAGUCUCAACCUCCCUUGCCUCCCCCAGUAAAUACCUUGAAGAUGAGUGGCAUCA